rnacentral:snRNA from 1 species
AUCUAUUCUUGUCUCUCCAUCUGGACCAGCACUACGCCAUGGUGAUUGUCUCUGAUAUAUCCUCCAUAGGAGAUCUAUAUUGAGCAGAUUUUUUUUGGUAUUGGGUGGUGGAACCGGAGCGUGCUCCAUCCACUCCAUGCAUUGACCUGGUAUUGCAGUGCUUCCAGGACCGGUGC